rnacentral:rRNA from 1 species
CGAGUGAGCGGCAAAGCUCAAUUUGAAAUCUAGCACCUUCGGUGUUCGAGUUGUAAUUUGAAGAUGGUAACCUUGGGUUUGGCUCUUGUCUAUGUUCCUUGGAACAGGACGUCAUAGAGGGUGAGAAUCCCGUCUGAUGAGAUGCCCAUUCCUAUGUAAGGUGCUAUCGAAGAGUCGAGUUGUUUGGGAAUGCAGCUCUAAGUGGGUGGUAAAUUCCAUCUAAAGCUAAAUAUUGGCGAGAGACCGAUAGCGAACAAGUACAGUGAUGGAAAGAUGAAAAGAACUUUGAAAAGAGAGUGAAAAAGUACGUGAAAUUGUUGAAAGGGAAGGGCAUUAGAUCAGACUUGGUGUUUUACGAUUAUCUUCUCUUCUUGAGUUGUGCACUCGUAUUUCACUGGGCCAGCAUCGAUUCGGAUGGCAAGAUAAUGGCAGUUGAAUGUGGCUUCACUUCGGUGGAGUGUUAUAGCUUCUGCUGAUAUUGCCUGUCUGGAUCGAGGGCUGCGUCUUUUGACUAGGAUGCUGGCGUAAUGAUCUAAUGCCGCCCGUC